rnacentral:sRNA from 1 species
AUCUUUUUAAGAAUUUACCACUCGAAAAACUGAAAAAUUAAAGAAGACACAGCUACUCUCUUUCUUUGUAACCGUUAAAAAAUAUAGGUACAAUAAUUAUGAUGAAAUUCUGGUGUACAUGUGAGAGGACGGAUGUGGUUGCGUGUGAAGGUUUGGCAUUAGAGACUGGUCUUGUUACCCAGAGUAAGAAACGUGUCUCAUUAACUGCUCCCUCGCUCCUAACUUACAACCGCCAAUAUGUGCAUACAAUUCACGAAACUUAAGUUUAAUCAGAAGGAAAAUAUUAAAACUUGAAAAGAAUGCUUAUUUUUUGUAUCUUGGUACAAAUCAAUAAAUUAUCAGUUAUUUGUUUAAGCAAGACACAAUGUUUUAUUUAUUGAAUACUGCACAAUAAACUAGUUUCUCACCGUGAUGCGAUAUCAUGCGUCAUUGGAUAGGCAGAGAAGCAAUUUGAAGUCUAUAACGCUAUGUUCAUUAAAUGUUUUGCAAUAUUAUUUUUUGAUGAAAAUACCCGAUAGCAUUAAUCGAUUACAAAUGUUAUGAAGCCAAAUGUACAUGGUUAUAUACUAAUAGUUUCAUGCAUCAAGUACGGGUAUACGCAUGUUUUAAAAUAUUGAAAACGGGGCUUUUUUGAAUAUGUUAUUUUUAAUAACAUUCUGAAAACAAUGUAAGCAAGUAUGUAUAUGGCUGUACAACGGACUAUUUCUGUGCUUUUUUUUUGGUGCAAAUGUUUUUGUUUUUACUGAGAUUGGUGUAAACAUUAAAUUUAUAAAUGGACAAACAAUUAUUACUCAAUGAAAGACCUGUAAAGGUGUAUUGUUGAAUGGAAUAAACAUUUAUUUA